rnacentral:rRNA from 1 species
CAGAUGUAAAAGGCUAAGGCUUAACCAUAGUUAGCAUUUGAAACUGUACAACUGNAGUGCAGGAGAGGUAAGUGGAAUUCCUAGUGUAGCGGUGAAAUGCGUAGAUAUUAGGAGGAACACCAGUGGCGAAGGCGACUUACUGGACUGUAACUGACGCUGAGUCACGAAAGCGUGGGUAGCAAACAGGAUUAGAUACCCUGGUAGUCCGCGCUGUAAACGAUGAGUGCUAGGUGUUGGCCAGCGAUGGUCAGUGCCGAAGCUAACACAAUAAGCACUCCGCCUGGGGAGUACGGUCGCAAGACUGAAACUCAAAGGAAUUGACGGGGACCCGCACAAGCAGCGGAGCAUGUGGUUUAAUUCGAAGCAACGCGAAGAACCUUACCAAGGCUUGACAUCCCCUUGACCGGCACAGAGAUGUGCCCUCUCCUUCGGGAGCAAGGGUGACAGGUGGUGCAUGGUUGUCGUCAGCUCGUGUCGUGAGAUGUUGGGUUAAGUCCCGCAACGAGCGCAACCCUUAUCAUUAGUUGCCAGCAGGUUAAGCUGGGCACUCUAAUGAGACUGCCGAUGAUAAAUCGGAGGAAGGUGGGGAUGACGUCAAAUCAUCAUGCCCCUUAUGUCUUGGGCUACACACGUGCUACAAUGGUCGGUACAAAGGGCAGCGAAGGAGUGAUCUGGAGCAAAUCCCAAUAAACCGAUCUCAGUUCGGAUUGUAGGCUGCAACUCGCCUACAUGAAGUCGGAGUUGCUAGUAAUCGCGAAUCAGAACGUCGCGGUGAAUGCGUUCCCGGGUCUUGUACACACCGCCCGUCACACCAUGGAAGUUGGUAAUACCCGAAGUCGCUGAGCUAACCGCAAGGAGGCAGGCGCCGAAGGUAGGAUCAAUGACUGGGGUGAAGUCGUAACAAGGUAACC